UACGUAGGGUGCGAGCGUUAAUCGGAAUUACUGGGCGUAAAGCGUGCGCAGGCGGUUCGUUGUGUCGGCGGUGAAAGCCCCGGGCUUAACCUGGGAAUUGCAUUCGAGACUGCUCUGCUAGGGUGCGGAAGAGGGAAGCGGAAUUUCCGGUGUAGCGGUGAAAUGCGUAGAUAUCGGAAGGAACACCAGUGGCGAAGGCAAGGUCUCUGGGCCGAUACUGACGCUGAGGAGCGAAAGCGUGGGGAGCGAACAGG
rnacentral:rRNA from 1 species